rnacentral:rRNA from 1 species
UGGGGAAUAUUGGGCAAUGGGCGAAAGCCUGACCCAGCAACGCCGCGUGAAGGAAGAAGGUUUUCGGAUUGUAAACUUCUUUUAUCAGGGACGAAGGAAGUGACGGUACCUGAUGAAUAAGCCACGGCUAACUACGUGCCAGCAGCCGCGGUAAUACGUAGGUGGCAAGCGUUGUCCGGAUUUACUGGGGUGUAAAGGGCGAGUAGGCGGGACGGAAAGUCAGUAGUGAAAUACCGAGGCUUAACUUCGGGGCUGCUAUUGAAACUUCUGUUCUUGAGUGAUGGAGAGGCAGGCGGAAUUCCCGGUGUAGCGGUGAAAUGCGUAGAGAUCGGGAGGAACACCAGUGGCGAAGGCGGCCUGCUGGACAUUAACUGACGCU